rnacentral:rRNA from 1 species
UACGGAGGGAGCUAGCGUUGUUCGGAAUUACUGGGCGUAAAGCGCGCGUAGGCGGCUUUGUAAGUUAGAGGUGAAAGCCCGGGGCUCAACUCCGGAACUGCCUUUAAGACUGCAUCGCUAGAAUCCGGGAGAGGUGAGUGGAAUUCCGAGUGUAGAGGUGAAAUUCGUAGAUAUUCGGAAGAACACCAGUGGCGAAGGCGGCUCACUGGCCCGGUACUGACGCUGAGGUGCGAAAGCGUGGGGAGCAAACAGG